GGCCCCAUCGUCUAACGGUUAGGACGGCAGAUUCUCAAUCUGUAAAUUCGGGUUCGAUUCCCGGUGGGGUCA
rnacentral:tRNA from 1 species